rnacentral:rRNA from 1 species
CAAUAGCGUAUAUUUAAGUUGUUGCAGUUAAAAAGCUCGUAGUUGGAUUUCGGAUGGGACUUGCCGGUCCGUCGUUUCGAUGUGCACUGGCCAGUCCUAUCUUGUUGUCGGGGACUAGCUCCUGGGCUUCACUGUCCGAGACUAGGAGCUGACGAGGUUACUUUGAGUAAAUUAGAGUGUUCAAAGCAAGCCUACGCUCUGAAUACAUUAGCAUGGAAUAACACGAUAGGACUCUGGCUUAUCUUGUUGGUCUGUGAGACCAGAGUAAUGAUUAAGAGGGACAGUCGGGGGCAUUCGUAUUUCAUUGUCAGAGGUGAAAUUCUUGGAUUUAUGAAAGACGAACUUCUGCGAAAGCAUUUGUCAAGGAUGUUUUCAUUAA